rnacentral:rRNA from 1 species
UACGAAGGGGGCUAGCGUUGCUCGGAAUCACUGGGCGUAAAGCGCACGUAGGCGGGUCUUUAAGUCGGGGGUGAAAUCCUGGAGCUCAACUCCAGAACUGCCUUCGAUACUGAAGAUCUCGAGUCCGGGAGAGGUGAGUGGAACUCCGAGUGUAGAGGUGAAAUUCGUAGAUAUUCGGAAGAACACCAGUGGCGAAGGCGGCUCACUGGCCCGGUACUGACGCUGAGGUGCGAAAGCGUGGGGAGCAAACAGG